rnacentral:rRNA from 1 species
UACGGAGGGUGCAAGCGUUAAUCGGAAUUACUGGGCGUAAAGCGCACGCAGGUGGCUGAGUCAGUCGAUUGUGAAAGCCCUGGGCUUAACCUGGGAAUUGCAGUCGAUACUACUCAGCUAGAGUAUGGGAGAGGGUAGUGGAAUUCCCGGUGUAGCGGUGAAAUGCGUAGAUAUUGGGAGGAACACCAGUGGCGAAGGCGGCUACCUGGACCGGUUCUGACGCUGAUGCGCGAAAGCGUGGGGAGCAAACAGG